rnacentral:rRNA from 1 species
UACGGAGGGUGCGAGCGUUGGUCCGGAAUCACUGGGCGUAAAGGGCGCGUAGGCGGCGCGGAUAGUCGGCUGGUGGAAAGCCCGGAGCUCAACUCCGGGUCGGCCGUGCGAACUGGGGGACUGGAGCUUGUCAGAGGCAGGCGGAAUUCCGGGUGUAGCGGUGGAAUGCGUAGAGAUCCGGAAGAACACCGGUGGCGAAGGCGGCCUGCUGGGACGAGUGCUGACGCUGAGGC